GCUAUUUAGGUGACACUAUAGAAUACUCAAGCUAUGCAUCCAACGCGUUGGGAGCUCUCCCAUAUGGUCGACCUGCAGGCGGCCGCGAAUUCACUAGUGAUUAGAGUUUGAUCAUGGCUCAGAUUGAACGCUGGCGGCAGGCCUAACACAUGCAAGUCGAGCGCGAAAACACUUCGGUGUGAGUAAAGCGGCGGACGGGUGAGUAACGCGUAGGAAUCUACCUAGUAGUGGGGGACAACUCGGGGAAACUCGAGCUAAUACCGCAUACGCCCUACGGGGGAAAGCGGGGGACCUUCGGGCCUCGUGCUAUUAGAUGAGCCUGCGUUGGAUUAGCUAGUUGGUGGGGUAAAGGCCUACCAAGGCGACGAUCCAUAGCUGGUCUGAGAGGAUGAUCAGCCACACCGGGACUGAGACACGGCCCGGACUCCUACGGGAGGCAGCAGUGGGGAAUAUUGCGCAAUGGGCGAAAGCCUGACGCAGCCAUGCCGCGUGUGUGAAGAAGGCCUUCGGGUUGUAAAGCACUUUCAAUUGGGAGGAAAGGUUCACGGUUAAUAACCGUGAGCUGUGACGUUACCUUUAGAAGAAGCACCGGCUAACUCCGUGCCAGCAGCCGCGGUAAUACGGAGGGUGCGAGCGUUAAUCGGAAUUACUGGGCGUAAAGCGCGCGUAGGUGGUCUGUUAAGUCGGAUGUGAAAGCCCCGGGCUCAACCUGGGAACUGCAUCCGAUACUGGCAAACUAGAGUGCGGGAGAGGGAGGUAGAAUUCCAUGUGUAGCGGUGAAAUGCGUAGAUAUGUGGAGGAAUACCAGUGGCGAAGGCGGCCUCCUGGCUCGACACUGACACUGAGGCGCGAAAGCGUGGGGAGCAAACAGGAUUAGAUACCCUGGUAGUCCACGCCGUAAACGAUGUCUACUAGCUGUAGGGGUACUUGAGACCUUUGUAGCGCAGCUAACGCAAUAAGUAGAC
rnacentral:rRNA from 1 species